GAUGAACGCUGGCGGCGUGCUUAACACAUGCAAGUCGAACGAGAAGUGAAGACGGAAACCUUCGGGCGGAAGGCUUUAUUUCGAGUGGCGGACGGGUGAGUAACGCGUGGGUAACCUGCCUCAUACAGGGGGAUAACAGUUGGAAACGACUGUUAAUACCGCAUAAGACCACAGCACCGCAUGGUGCGGGGGUAAAAACUCCGGUGGUAUGAGAUGGACCCGCGUUCGAUUAGCCAGUUGGCGGGGUAACGGCCCACCAAAGCGACGAUCGAUAGCCGAGCUGAGAGGAUGACCGGCCACAUUGGGACUGAGACACGGCCCAAACUCCUACGGGAGGCAGCAGUGGGGAAUAUUGCACAAUGGGGGAAACCCUGAUGCAGCGACGCCGCGUGAGUGAAGAAGUAUGUCGGUAUGUAAAGCUCUAUCAGUAGGGAAGAAAAUGACGGUACCUGAGUAAGAAGCCCCGGCUAACUACGUG
rnacentral:rRNA from 1 species